UUGCACGCUGGCGGCAGGCCUAACACCUGCAAGUCGAGCGGAUGACGGGAGCUUGCUCCUUGAUUCAGCGGCGGACGGGUGAGUAAUGCCUAGGAAUCUGCCUGGUAGUGGGGGACAACGUUUCGAAAGGAACGCUAAUACCGCAUACGUCCUACGGGAGAAAGCAGGGGACCUUCGGGCCUUGCGCUAUCAGAUGAGCCUAGGUCGGAUUAGCUUGUUGGUGAGGUAAUGGCUCACCAAGGCGACGAUCCGUAACUGGUCUGAGAGGAUGAUCAGUCACACUGGAACUGAGACACGGUCCAGACUCCUACGGGAGGCAGCAGUGGGGAAUAUUGGACAAUGGGCGAAAGCCUGAUCCAGCCAUGCCGCGUGUGUGAAGAAGGUCUUCGGAUUGUAAAGCACUUUAAGUUGGGAGGAAGGGUUGUAGAUUAAUACUCUGCAAUUUUGACGUUACCGACAGAAUAAGCACCGGCUAACUCUGUG
rnacentral:rRNA from 1 species